AGUGAUAAGUACCAACCUUAUUACAACAUAGAAAGAAAGAGAUAAAAAAAGGAACGGGAAGAAGAAACAUUAUGGGUGAGCUUCAAAGAACUCUGUAACCGCGUUCUUCACCCAACAAUUUCUUGGCACCAUCGGUAGAGACUUAACUCCAAGGAAGGUGAGUUCAUUAAAUUAAGUUCCUGCCAUACUUUAAGUGAUUGGGGGCAAUUUAUUAAGCUAUGAACAAUUGAUUCUGGUUCUAUUCUGCAUCUAGGGCAAUUGGCAGAGAAAUUGGGAAAUCUACUCGGAAACCGCUGGUUCACAGGGAUACCUUCAUGAAUAGCUCGCCACACAAAAAGCUUG
rnacentral:lncRNA from 1 species